rnacentral:tRNA from 1 species
GGAGGGAUACUCAAGUCUGGUUUAAGAGGCUAAUCAUUCGUGAUUAGUAAGAGCUUUUUGCUCGCGUUGGUUCAAAUCCUUCUCCCUCCGCUA